rnacentral:antisense_RNA from 1 species
CUUCAGCGACCCCAGCCACAGCGGCGCGCCGGGCUGCCGUCCCUGCCCGUAGGUCGCGAGCAGGGCGUCGGCCUC